UAAUAUUCACUUAAUUUGAAACCGUUUACGCUACACAGUUUUAAUAAUGGUUUUCACUCAUGGUUGACUUGUAUGCAGAAAACGAUACACACACAUCGGUUCGUUUUCAGCUAACAUGUUUACAUCGCUGCCCGCGAGUGGCUGUCUUUCGUUCCGCCCUAUCCCCACCCAUUUCACCUGUCGAUUCUCGUAAUCCCUUUUGAAAACAUGCGGCCCGGUAGUUAUAAGGUUCCGACUUCCAGAAGACCUACGCGAAAGGAAUGCGUCGGAAAAUGCCUGUUUCCGAGGCGCUUGCGAAGAACUGAAGACGCCUUAAGGAUAAUUGUAUGUGGUUUCUACCUUAAAUAAACCAAAACAAAACAAACAAAAAUAAAAUUGCGGUGUAGAGCAAGUGAUUUGCUCUACAGAAAAGACACAUUCUUUGUUGUGGACACGACGAGCUUUCAAGUGGAUGUGCCUUGAUUUUGUUUAUUGCCCUUAUGUACACUUUCAAGACAUGAUGCAGUCCAUUACAGAGUUUCUUGGCUACAAGUUGUUGCCUGUGCAGUACACUGUACAGUGCGUAAAUCAGGCAUUUUUCUUUGAGUAGGCUUUCAAAUCCUCUGUACCGGCUAACCAUUGCUGGUGCGUCAUCAGUAGCCACUGCGGUAAUAUUAUUGAGAGGUUUCAUGGUAUCAUUACUGAAAGUCUUCACACAAGAGAAACAAUGGCAUGGUGUCAUUGGUUAAAUGAAGUAAUGAAUCCAUAUUUCAAUUAUUCCUAAGAAUACUGUCAGCAUUUCUUCGUAGCAGCAACAGCAGUCAUUAUGUCUAUUACACACAAUUUUCAAUGCAAGUCACAAUAAUCAGUUCAUGGACCACACUUGCGGAAGCUGAGUGUACUGAACUGAGAACUACUGUAUCCCAGACAGCGAAAGAAAUGCGCGUGGGUUGGGGUGAGGUAUAUGCUCAAUCACUCAGUACAGGACAGAGACAGACAGGAAUGUAUCCUGUAUGGACACUAGUAUGGACAGUAGAGCUGUGAGACAUGAUGAGGGGAAGAGGUUGGUUGAAGGAAGUGUUGCCAGCCCUGCUGAAAAUUCUGAAGAUUUACUGAAUUCAAGAAAGUAAUACAAUGUUUUAAAAAAUCUAAUGGUGUUUGAUUUUCCUCAGAUUUUAACAAAUUAUUAUAGAGACUUCAAAUCAGAGGCUUCAGUGGUCCCUUUGACCACAGCAGUAUAUGUUCAGAUAAUAAACAUUCAUUAACCCCUUAGGGUUUACAUCAGCCACUUUGAGAACCCCUGUUCUAGAUUGACAAUAGUAUAAACUGUUUCUCUUGUCUUGCUUUCUUUGAACGUGUGCAUUUUGUCAAUAACAUGAAGGGGGCUUCGUUUUGUUGACUGUCUAUGGAUCUCUGAAUUUUACUGGUUUCAACCAAAUUUGGCAGUCUUUAAAUGGGUUAAACAGUUCUCAUACCACUGCCACAGAAUCAUUGCCUAAAGCUUAAUAAAUAUAAAAAAUAGUUUCAGCACAAGUAGUUCUAAGGGCAGGAUUUGUGAGUGUUGCAUUAAUACCACCUCAUCCUUGAUGUUCACCGAUUCAUAUCAAGGAUUCCAUAUAGUUUCUUGAGUCGUACAGCUUAAGGGUAGCUAUUGGGCAAUUAUCCAAAAAUUAUUUCAGAUGACUGGACUUCCUGGUUGCCUACCUAAACUAACAGUUGACACCAUUCAGAUCUCUUCCCUCCAACUACUUUUUGGAAGAAAAAAAAAGGAGGUGGGUUGGAUACUUUUUGAGCAGACACAGAUAGAUAAAUAUGAAAAUAAUAAUAAAUAACACAACUUGUGUUGCAUAACUGAUUUUUAUUACACGGCAUUAUAUUUUUCCCAGCCACUUCAAACUACUAUGGCCACUGGAAAUUGGUCGUAUGCACCUUUCACAUUAACAAGUAUGGACCUGCUACUGAGUUAUUGCUGCAGAUGAUAGUCUCAUCUGAGAUCACAAGUUGAAGUGAGCAGAACCCUAUUGUCUUUUAAGUUCACAUCAAAGAUGGCUUCAUCAUCUCUACACUUAUUCUACUGACCUAUGUGAUACAAAAUUUUUCUCUUACAUAAACUCUUCAUUGAGCCUCAAAGUCUUACUAUUAAAACAUGGAGUUGGAUGAUUUCCCAGAAAAAAAAAAUCUGAUGUUCCCCUUGACAAAAAUUAUCACAGAAAUGUCUUUGCUCUAAUCCUUUGUUAACUUUACAUUCCAUAACCUAUGUAAUAUCAAGCAGAACAUGACAACAAUUCCAUUCUAACACAGUGCCAAAGAAGGACCUCAGAGACCAGUUUAACAUCUUUUACAAUCACAAACUCUGAAGUACAGGUAAUAAAAUAUUUAAUCCUUAAGGGAUACAUAAUCCAGUCCAAUGUAGAACCACAAUUUUCUUUUUGAUUUAACUCUUCUGCUUUACAUGCCAAAAAGACCUGCAAUUAAUGCACAGACAAAUGCUUAAAUGAAUAUGAUGAGCCUCACAAUAGUGAAACGGCAAAUAUUAACAUCAUUGUCACCAAGUCAAGAAGCAAUGGACACACAAAAUUUUGUAGUGUAACACAGGAUAAUAGCAUGUACUUAUUCAUACAGUAUACCUUUAUACCUUAGAAAAAAAAAAAGUUCAUUAUAUAAUCCAAAGCAACAUUAUAUCCAAUGAAUAAUCUUGAAAUUUACUUAACUGACUGGAAUGUCUUGAGUUUUCUAUAAAUAUUAAUUUUGGGUUCUCUGCAAGCAUCAUCAAAUACUCCUAAAUCCAGGAACCAAUCUUAGCUCUUCCAGGACACUGCCUUUACUCAUUUUUACUCAUCUUGACAACUCUGUUUUCUUCUCCUCCACCUUCACUUUUCACUCUGAAACCACAGAUUAACUGCAUUGUGGAAGCAACAUUAUAGCAGUCGAGAGAUCAGUAACUAAGCUAGUUAUACAGAUAAUGCUUUGUAAGUGAUGCUAAUCCUGUUUAAAGUUUCUUGUUUGCCACUAAUAAUCUAUGCAUUGUCAAAAGAAAAAUUCUGAGAAAACAUAACAGACAAUUAAUAUCAAGAUAUUUGGCCAACAUUUUGGAAUAUGAAACUCUCUGUAAUUUACUUAAUACUAAUUUCAUAACUAUGUAUUACAAAUGAAAAGGAAAAUUUUCACUGGGUUUUUUGGAACUAUCGCAUCUGAAGGAGUGAAAUGAGUGUGAGGAGAGAAGUUACAUGAAAGUCAAAAUUUGUCCUUAAUUCAGAACAAUGAUGAACUUUCCAAACAGUCUCCAAGGAGAACAAAUAUCUUGCAUACAGGCUAGCACAUCACAUGUACAUUCCAAUAUAGUAUACAUGCAUGAGCAUGUACAAUCAUAUAACAUUUUUUCCCAUGAAUAUGAGCAAAGGAUAUAAGUAUGCCUUACUGUGGUGGCAGGACUGAGAGCAGGACAGCCAGUCUCCUUAUCCUAAAGAGUACCCUUGAUGAUCUAUCCACAAUGAUAGUGCCAAAAAUGAUUUUGUGAAUAGUUUUGCAUUCUCAUGGAAUGUGGCAAGAGCAGGAAUACUACAGAAUGUGAGAUAACCUGCAUUUAGAAAAGUCAGUUUUGUGUAUGGUCAUUACACAUAAAGGUUAAUGUAAAUUUCUCUUUAGACUGAGAGACUGGAUUGACUGCACAUAGGAGAGGAGCUGGACAAUGAAUUUCACUGUUAUACAUAUUUGAUGAAUUCAAGGCUGAACUAAUGUUACAUGCAGUAUCAUUAUGAUAUCAUCUAUCAUUUGCAUAUUUAAAACUACAGAAAUGAUUUUUCAUGCCAUGUAAAUAGAGCUAUUGUUGUUAAGAAGUUAAAAUAUG